UACAGAGGUCCCGAGCGUUGUUCGGAUUCACUGGGCGUAAAGGGUGCGUAGGUGGUGAGGUAAGUCGGAUGUGAAAUCUCCGGGCUCAACCCGGAAAUGGCAUUGGAAACUACCUUGCUGGAGGAUUUGAGGGGGGAUUGGAAUACUUGGUGUAGCAGUGAAAUGCGUAGAUAUCAAGUGGAACACCAGUGGCGAAGGCGAAUCCCUGGAAAAUGCCUGACACUGAGGCACGAAAGCGUGGGGAGCAAACAGG
rnacentral:rRNA from 1 species